AUACGGAGGGGGUUAGCGUUGUUCGGAAUUACUGGGCGUAAAGCGCACGUAGGCGGACUGGAAAGUUGGGGGGGAAAUCCCGGGGCUCAACCCCGGAACUGCCUCCAAAACUUCCAAUCUAGAGAUCGAGAGAGGUGAGUGGAAUUCCAAGUGUAGAGGUGAAAUUCGUAGAUAUUUGGAGGAACACCAGUGGCGAAGGCGGCUCACUGGCUCGAUACUGACGCUGAGGUGCGAAAGCGUGGGGAGCAAACAGGAUUAGAAACCCCAGUAGUCC
rnacentral:rRNA from 1 species